rnacentral:tRNA from 1 species
GCGGAUAUAGCUCAAGUGGUUAGAGCAUCUGAUUGUGGUUCAGAAGGCUGCCGGUUCAAGUCCGGUUAUUCGCCCCA